CAGCCGCCGCGGUAAUACGAAGGGGGCUAGCGUUGCUCGGAAUUACUGGGCGUAAAGGGAGCGUAGGCGGACAUUUAAGUCAGGGGUGAAAUCCCGGGGCUCAACCUCGGAAUUGCCUUUGAUACUGGGUGUCUUGAGUAUGAGAGAGGUAUGUGGAACUCCGAGUGUAGAGGUGAAAUUCGUAGAUAUUCGGAAGAGCACCAGUGGCGAAGGCGACAUACUGGCUCAUUACUGACGCUGAGGCUCGAAAGCGUGGGGAGCAAACAGGAUUAGAUACCCCUGUAGUCCCUGUCUCUUAUAC
rnacentral:rRNA from 1 species